rnacentral:rRNA from 1 species
GGGACCGCACAAGCGUGGAUGAUGUGGUUAAUUCGAUGCAACGCGAAAACCUUACCACCUUUGACAUGUACGGAAUCCUUUAGAGAUAGAGGAGUGCUCGAAAGAGAACCGUAACACAGGUGCUGCAUGGCUGUCGUCAGCUCGUGUCGUGAGAUGUUGGGUUAAGUCCCGCAACGAGCGCAACCCUUGUCAUUAGUUGCUACAUUCAGUUGGGCACUCUAAUGAGACUGCCGGUGACAAACCGGAGGAAGGUGGGGAUGACGUCAAGUCCUCAUGGCCCUUAUAGGUGGGGCUACACACGUCAUACAAUGGAUGGUACAAAGGGUCGCCAACCCGCGAGGGGGAGCCAAUCCCAUAAAGCCAUUCGUAGUCCGGAUCGCAGUCUGCAACUCGACUGCGUGAAGUCGGAAUCGCUAGUAAUCGUGGAUCAGAAUGUCACGGUGAAUACGUUCCCGGGUCUU